CAACGCCGCGUGAGUGAUGAAGGUUUUCGGAUCGUAAAGCUCUGUUGUUAGGGAAGAACAAGUGCGAGAGUAACUGCUCGCACCUUGACGGUACCUAACCAGAAAGCCACGGCUAACUACGUGCCAGCAGCCGCGGUAAUACGUAGGUGGCAAGCGUUGUCCGGAAUUAUUGGGCGUAAAGGGCUCGCAGGCGGUUUCUUAAGUCUGAUGUGAAAGCCCCCGGCUCAACCGGGGAGGGUCAUUGGAAACUGGGAAACUUGAGUGCAGAAGAGGAGAGUGGAAUUCCACGUGUAGCGGUGAAAUGCGUAGAGAUGUGGAGGAACACCAGUGGCGAAGGCGACUCUCUGGUCUGUAACUGACGCUGAGGAGCGAAAGCGUGGGGAGCGAACAGGAUUAGAUACCCUGGUAGUCCACGCCGUAAACGAUGAGUGCUAAGUGUUAGGGGGUUUCCGCCCCUUAGUGCUGCAGCUAACGCAUUAAGCACUCCGCCUGGGGAGUACGGUCGCAAGACUGAAACUCAAAGGAAUUGACGGGGGCCCGCACAAGCGGUGGAGCAUGUGGUUUAAUUCGAAGCAACGCGAAGAACCUUACCAGGUCUUGACAUCCUCUGACAACCCUAGAGAUAGGGCUUUCCCUUCGGGGACAGAGUGACAGGUGGUGCAUGGUUGUCGUCAGCUCGUGUCGUGAGAUGUUGGGUUAAGUCCCGCAACGAGCGCAACCCUUGAUCUUAGUUGCCAGCAUUCAGUUGGGCACUCUAAGGUGACUGCCGGUGACAAACCGGAGGAAGGUGGGGAUGACGUCAAAUCAUCAUGCCCCUUAUGACCUGGGCUACACACGUGCUACAAUGGACAGAACAAAGGGCUGC
rnacentral:rRNA from 1 species